AGCUUUGCACAGUGGCAGUAUCGUAGCCAAUGAGUUUAUCCGAGGCGCAAUUAUUGCUAAUUGAAAAAUUCAGCAUAUUUUCAAUCACCUCUUGUACUAUUCUUGUCUUCUGCAGGA
rnacentral:snRNA from 1 species